UCCUGUCCUGGUCCAACCGGUAGGAGGCGAUAUCGGCGAUCGUCACCUUGCCGAGAUUGCGGAUCUUCUCCGCGAGCAGGAAC
rnacentral:tRNA from 1 species